GGAGGGUUGGCAGAGCGGUCGAAUGCGGCGGUUUUGAAAACCGCUGAGUCCUUCGGGACUCCACAGGUUCGAAUCCUGUACCCUCCGCCA
rnacentral:tRNA from 1 species